ACCUAUGAAGAUGUAACUGAUUUUCACUCAAGAGGAGUGGGCACUAUUAAAUUCUUCAGAGAAGAAACUCUACAGAGAUGUGAUGUGUGAAAAUUUGAGGAACUUUCUUUCAAUAGAAAAGAUACAAGAACAUUCCACCAAAGGGCAGCAUAUCUUGCAUGGUAAUAAACAAAGGUGAGAGUUACAUUUACAAUAAAGUGUGAUGUACCACCUAAGAA